GGUAGGGUGGCUGAGGUCCAAGCGGUGGGUUGUAGUUCCACAAACAGGGGUCAAGCCCCCUUCUUACCA
rnacentral:tRNA from 1 species